rnacentral:RNase_P_RNA from 1 species
GUAGGACGGUGCUUAACUGUAGGUACAUUUUUGUGCUUAGGAAAGUCCACCCACUAUUAAUGGUUACUUUUGAAAGAAAGGCUCUGAAAAGAGCGGCAACCACUCAGAAACGAGACCACCUGUUGAAUGGAAUGAUGCUUGGAGAAUUAAGCGGCGACGCUUGAGAGAUAACCCGCUGACGUCUCUUCAGGAACGGAUGAAACGGUGAGCCCUAACUUGUGCAAGCCAAAAUGGCGCUAAGUAGAAUGUUAAGACGGGCUGUUCAUGAAUGAUUCGUGAAGCUUGACAGAAGGUGGCUUAUAGCCGCCCUAC